rnacentral:rRNA from 1 species
CCUACGGGUGGCAGCAGUCGAGAAUCAUUCACAAUGGGGGAAACCCUGAUGGUGCGACGCCGCGUGGGGGAAUGAAGGUCUUCGGAUUGUAAACCCCUGUCAUGUGGGAGCAAAUUAAAAAGAUAGUACCACAAGAGGAAGAGACGGCUAACUCUGUGCCACCAGCUGCGGUACUACAGAGGUCUCAAGGGUUGUUCGGAAUCACUGGGCGUAAAGCGUGCGUAGGCUGUUUCGUAAGUCGUGUGUGAAAGUCGCGGGCUCAACCCGCGGACGGCACAUGAUACUGCGAGACUAGAGUAAUGGAGGGGGAACCGGAAUUCUCGGUGUAGCAGUGAAAUGCGUAGAUAUCGAGAGGAACACUCGUGGCGAAGGCGGGUUCCUGGACAUUAACUGACGCUGAGGCACGAAGGCCAGGGGAGCGAAAGGGAUUAGAUACCCCAGUAGUC